rnacentral:misc_RNA from 1 species
GAACGCACCUUGCGCUCGUUGGUAUUCCGACGAGCAUGCCUGUUUGAGUGUCAUUAAAUUCUCAACCUUACCAGUUUUGUUAUGAGACUGUGUAAGGCUUGGAUGUGGGGGUUUGUGCAGGCUGCCUCAGUGCGGUCUGCUCCCCUGAAAUGCAUUAGCGAGUUCAAACUGAGCUCUGUCUAUUGGUGUGAUAAUUAUCUACGCCGUGGAUGGUUCUUAGACUUGCUUCUAACCGUCCGCAAGGACAACUUUUGACAAUUUGACCUCAAAUCAGGUAGGACUACCCGCUGAACUUAAG